UACGUAGGGGGCAAGCGUUGUCCGGAAUUAUUGGGCGUAAAGAGCGCGUAGGCGGUCCGGUAAGUCGGUUGUGAAAGUCGGGGGCUCAACCCUCGGAAUGCCGAUCGAUACUGUCGGGCUAGAGUCCGGAAGAGGCGAGUGGAAUUCCUGGUGUAGCGGUGAAAUGCGCAGAUAUCGGGAAGAACACCGAUGGCGAAGGCAGCUCUCUGGGACGGUACCGACGCUGAGACGCGAAAGCGUGGGGAGCGAACAGG
rnacentral:rRNA from 1 species